AGCGACAACGUUUGAAAAAUAAUAAAUUACUUGAUAACUAGGCUAUAGUUUUAAUUUCAUCUGUGCCAAUAAGAAUAUAUCUUGAGAAAAUGUAUACCUGCCUGGUGUGCGGGGACAUAAAAUUCCCAACACGAAUGAAGUGCUAUAACCAUAUUGUGGAGCAGCAUUCCGGGGUCUCAAGGAAAGGUGUCAAAUAUUGUAAAAUAUUUCACAGAAAAACGCCCGGCAGUGGUCCCUGUUACAACAAUAUAGAGGAUUACAUCUGGUUUGUGCAGAUAACAGGCGCACGAGAAGCGGAGGCAGAGGGAGUCCUCAGUGAAUUCAAGUUAAAGGUCCCCUUACUGAUUAGAGAUAGCGAACAUAUUCAGAAGAGGCCAGAGGAACAAACUGUGAAAAGGCCAGAGGACCAUGAUCCUACGCGGAGAAUGGCAACAAGACCAGCACCAAUGUUUUCUUGGAAACGCCUGCCAGAAGAUCAGGAAAACGAACAAACUGGAAGCGGGCCAGAAAGAGUAGUUUGUGAUAAGUUCUUCCAGUGCUGACUCUGACAAAAGUUCUUCCUCAUCAGAAGAAUCUUCUAUUUUUUCGAAAUGGAAAGAACCAAAAGUUUUGGAACAUGAAAAAAAAAUCAACUUCACAAGAAAAUAAAGUAGUCAGCCAGGGCAAAAUUGUAUUAGUUGAGGUAAAUGUCGGUGUACAAUUGUUUAUCACUAAAAGACCAACAAUUGAAAACACAAACAUUAAUUACUCUGGAUUUAUCGAUCGAGAUCCUACUUACUUUUCAAUAAUUUUGAACCAUCUACGUUUCCAAGAACAAAGGUGCGACGUUUCCUUAGAUGUCCUUCCCAACACACGACGUAAAUUGGCCCUGAUCAGUCUCGAAGCCAGAUUCUAUGGCUUAAAUUCACUUGUGAAAAUUUGUGAGGAGAAAAGGGCAAAUCUGAAAUUGUAGACAGUGCAAGUUGAGUCUAUUUAAGACGAAAUUAAUGACAGUUAAUGUUUCCAUUUGUUAUUAUAAGUUGGAUGUUGAAAUGUUGCAAAAUAUUUAAUAUAUGUAUAUAGUUAUACAUUAUCUGUCACUGACGCUUAUACUAUUUUAUGUGUAAGGGUUCUUGAUGGUCACGUGAUUUUAUGUUAGGUAUUUGAUAUUACUCCUUUAAAAAUUAUUAAAUUAUUCCUUUAAAACUUAUAGAAAUUCGUUGUAGGAAUAAAUGCCAUUGUUGUGAAUGAAUUAACUCAUGGUGAUUUUUGGAAAGAGCUUGGAUAAUUGUGAAUGAAUAAUGAUUGUGAAUGUGUGUUGUGUUUUCAUUACGAACAAACAAACCCUGGUUGAUCUGCAACAUGUGUCAAUGCAAGAACUCACCAAACUGAUCAUACAAACACUGAUUAAAACGAUGUUCCUCUGUAUCAUCAGAACACGAACUGUGCUAAUCCCUCGAACUAUCACAAAUAAGCCCAAUGGUGGAGGGCGUUCUGCGUAACCAGAAACAUACUUAAAAAUAUGUUGUCUGAAUGUCAGUAACUUAAAAAACGUUUAAAUUAUCCUUACUUUGUAAAUAUGUAUUUCUUGUUUUUCAUUUCAGAAACACAACUUGAUAAAUAUGACAUUGUU